ACUUAAUAUUUAAUGAGGAGAUUUAGAUUCAGAUCACUUCUAAUAGUUACAUACAACUGAUGUAGAUGGCUAAUCUAGUUUAGGUCAGCACAUCAUCUCAUGUCUGACCAACCUAGUUGGCAUGGGUGAACUCGAGUCAACAAGUAACUUAAUAUAAAAUAUAUCUCCCAAAAUGGCCAAGUAAGUGAAGAUGAGUGAGAGUCUCCCUGUUGCUUUUCUUAGACACCAACGAAUUGGCUAGAUCAGACAAUGAAACUAAUUAAAGAACCACCAUCCAAGACUUGCCUUAGACACAAAAUUGGUUGAUUAGAAUCGAUCAGGUUAACUUAUAGAUCCGAGCUUGAACCACUGAGCCAAAUUCAAUUUUGAUUUAAUUAAUUCACAUCACAUAUGAAUCAAUUUGAUCAACUACAACUAAACUCAAUUUUGAGCCCCUUUGAUCUAAUCCUAAUCAACUUUUGAUUAGGUUCGAUCAACUGCUCAAAAUCAAAAAAUAUUUUAACCUGAUCUAAUCAUGGACCC
rnacentral:lncRNA from 1 species